GCACCAGUAGCUCAACUGGAAGAGCUCCCGCCUUGUAAGCGGGGGGUCGGAGGUUCAAGUCCUCCCUGGUGCU
rnacentral:tRNA from 1 species